GAUGAAGAACGCAGCGAAAUGCGAUAAGUAGUGUGAAUUGCAGAAUUCAGUGAAUCAUCGAAUCUUUGAACGCACAUUGCGCCCUUUGGUAUUCCAAAGGGCAUGCCUGUUCGAGCGUCAUUUGUACCCUCAAGCUUUGCUUGGUGUUGGGCGUCUUGUCUCUAGCUUUGCUGGCGACUCGCCUUAAAGUAAUUGGCAGCCGGCCUACUGGUUUCGGAGCGCAGCACAAGUCGCACUCUCUAUCAGCAAAGGUCUAGCAUCCAUUAAGCCUUUUUUUCAACUUUUGACCUCGGAUCAGGUAGGGAUACCCGCUGAACUUAAGCAUAUCAAUAAGCGGAGGA
rnacentral:misc_RNA from 1 species